CUCCCACUCACCCCAGGAUGAUUCUUGCUCCUUUGCUUGGCUGCUGAGGUUGAAGGAAAUUCAGUGGUCAUGUCUGUGGCUCUCCAGCUGUUUCACUUUUUACUAUGGAUGCUAAAUAACCCAUGUUGAACGUUUCACCUGGUCGUGUCUUGAUGAGCAAGUGCACUGCUGGAUCUCAUAGGCACGUCAUACGUGGGCACAUUUUCCUGGAUGUCAUCUGCCUUGCAGAACACGCCCCUCUUCACUGUCGCCUGCACUCCCCUGACAGCUCAGCGCAUUUUUCUGGCAAUAGCGAGACCACCAAGCACCAGCAGGCUGACCAUGAAUACUGAGGAAGGCCGGUUUCCUCUAUACCUAAGAGCCUGGGGACACCUUUGGCAUUCUCCACUCUCAAAGAGCCUUCCUCUGUGAGGAGCUGCAGGAACGGAGCUGGGAAAAUGCUGGCUCCUCGGUAGGUGACUGGAUAGCUGCCCAACUUCCUGGAAUAUGAGAUGAGAGAAAUACCACUGAAACCCAAGUGCUCCACUCGUGGCCUCAUCAAUGCUCCCAAUCUAGGCCAACUGAAGCAGCGGUUUGUAAUGUGGACCACGUUCUAUCAUUUGACUUAAGAGGAGUACAUGCAUGGCUGGUGGGAAUGUACAUUAGCU
ensembl:lncRNA